rnacentral:lncRNA from 1 species
AAUUUUGUUCUCAAAGUACUGAGUAAUUAGGUUAUUUAGGAGCUGUCAGCAACACAGGAGACUGGUACCCUCUGUCCUGGACAGUCAUUUUCAUGGUCUGCUUUUCAAGUUGUACAAUAAUACAAUUUUGUAUUUUGGCUUUGUUUAUUUCAGGCCAUGGAAUCUGUCCUGCUCUUCAUGAAACACAAAGAUAAAGCUGGUGGCCAUUGGUGAGGCAAUCUGGCCACUGGUGAGUGGCACACAUGCUACAGGAGAAACAACAACACUACUGCAAGAAUGUACUUCUGGAGAUAAACGUUCCCAGGAUGCCAGUGCAUUGGUUGUACCUCAUCAAAGUCAAACUGGUUUGAUUUCACUGAGACCAGUGCAGUGCAGCAAAGAUGGAUUUGUCUCUGCG